UGGGGAAUCUUGCACAAUGGGGGCAACCCUGAUGCAGCGACGCCGCGUGAGCGAUGAAGCCCUUCGGGGCGUAAAGCUCUUUCGACCGGAACGAUAAUGACGGUACCGGGAGAAGAAGCUGUGGCUAACUACGUGCCAGCAGCCGCGGUAAUACGUAGGCAGCAAGCGUUGUUCGGAGUUACUGGGCGUAAAGAGUGCGUAGGCGGUUUUCUAAGUUCGGUGUGAAAUCUCCCGGCUUAACUGGGAGGGUGCGCCGAAGACUGGGAAGCUGGAGUGUGGGAGAGGCAGGCGGAAUUCCUGGUGUAGCGGUGAAAUGCGUAGAUAUCAGGAGGAACACCGGCGGUGUAGACGGCUUGCUAGACCAUAACUGACGCUGAGGCACGAAAGCGUGGGUAGCAAACA
rnacentral:rRNA from 1 species